GAUGAACGCUAGCUACAGGCUUAACACAUGCAAGUCGAGGGGUAACGAGAGGAAAGCUUGCUUUCCUUGUCGACGACCGGCGCACGGGUGAGUAGCGCGUAUCCAACCUGCCCCCAACUAGGGAAUAACCUUGCGAAAGUAAGACUAAUACCCUAUAAUUUCCUCAGAUGUCAUCUGACGAGGAAUAAAGAUUUAUCGGUUGUGGAUGGGGAUGCGUCUGAUUAGCUUGUUGGCGGGGUAACGGCCCACCAAGGCAACGAUCAGUAGGGGUUCUGAGAGGAAGGUCCCCCACAUUGGAACUGAGACACGGUCCAAACUCCUACGGGAGGCAGCAGUGAGGAAUAUUGGUCAAUGGGCGGAAGCCUGGACCAGCCAAGUAGCGUGCAGGAUGACGGCCCUAUGGGUUAUAAACUGCUUUUAUACAGGAAUAAAGUUGGCCACGUGUGGUUAUUUGUAGGUACUGUAUGAAUAAGGACCGGCUAAUUCCGUGCCAGCAGCCGCAGUAA
rnacentral:rRNA from 1 species